GUACGGAACUUCACCCGCGGUAGAGUACGGCCUGAGAAUUUUGUUCCAGCACCGGUGUGAGGAAAACAUCUGAGCCCAUGAAUUGCCAGACCCUGGAUACCUGAGACACAUCCACUUGCUUCUCAGGUUUGGAGUGCAUAAUGAGGAGAAAUAAAAACAGAAAGAUCUCCAGAAAGAAGCCAUGGUAAGAUUCAAGGUUUCACAGUCCAAGCUAAUGCCUGUGGACACUUGACCAAGUGAUCUGAGAAAAUUGGAUUUCUGGCAAAACAAGUGUACCUAGACUCAGGCAAGGGUGGAGAACAGAGGGCGACUAGAUUAAAUGGAAAGAAUGCCCAGGCAUCCCAUUGCCUCCCUUUGACGUUCCAGAACUUCAUCAAGACAGUGAUGAGCUACAUGUACACCUGGAGGAGAGUUCAGGAUCAAGCUCAGAAGCGCACAGCUGCCAGCAAGCAGUCUACUACUGAACUGCACCAUCUCUCCAGCCUGUGCUUACUCUUGAAUAGCCCCAAAGUAGUCAAUGGUGUGGGCCCUGAAAGGAACUGUAUACCUGCUCUGCCCAUGACUGCUUCUGCCUCUACCUCAAUGUACUGUAACUGUUUAACAAGGUUGCUCUGGCUCAGGCUGAGAAAUUGACUCCACCCUUACCCUGACGCCUGGCAUGUCCACAUGUGGUCCUGUGUAGUCAGCAACCCCAGAGAACAAGUUACAAGAAAUUAAAGACACGGAAUUCCAAAGGACAAUACAUGUUCAACAAGCUCAAACCAUUCAGAGAGGGCACAGAAUGAAAUUAAAGACAACAGGAAUAAAAUUCUGGGAGUCCAAGUAUACAAAAACACAGCUCAGCAACACAUGGAACAGCAAGACUGUAAAUUCUCAGUCCAGCUAUGGAUAAUUUAGGAUCCUUUGUAGGGCUAUUUGGUACUGGACAACCAAUUGGAGUGUUGUUUGCGGGGGAGGACCACCUCUCCAGGUAGAAUCUAAACAUCAGAAAAUCAACAACCCAGUUAAAAUAAUCUAGAGCACUAACCAGAGCGUUCUCAGAAGAAGCACUACAAACGGCUAAGAAACACGAGACUGCUCAACAUCCUUUGCCAUCAGGGAAACACAGAAGCUCACUUUUCAGUUUUCAUCUUUCUGGAGUCAGAAUGGUUAUCGUCAAGAAUGCCAGUGACAUGGAUGUAGAGGACGGAUUCCUUCAUUGUCUAAGUCUCUGGAAAUAGUGCAGAAGAGUAGUCAGGGACUAAAAGAUGGAAGACAGAAAGGGCUGCAAAGUUCCAUCCUAGAGACUCAAUACAGCCAUUGCAAUGAUGAACUCACAAAAACUGCAUUUACCUGAACUUAGCCUGCUCAAGACAUUGAAAGUGUUUCAAAGUAGCUUUUCCUGUUGUGAAUGUACCUCUCAGCUAGUCUGGUUUCUGGUUCAGAGCUCUUAGGCACAGAGUUGUCUUGAACAUUUGCUUACAGGCACUUGUGUAGAUAUCAGCUGCUUUUUUUUGUUAAAUCUCUGAAAUAAAUGCCUAGGCGUUCAAUGGCAAUGUUAUAUCAGUAUGUAUUUAGCUUAGUUUUAAAAUAAGAAACUGUCAAAUACUUUUGUAGAAUUACUGGACCAUUUUACACCCCUGCCAACAAAGUAAGAUUGAUCCAGCUCCCCACAUUCUCAUAAACAUUUGUUUUUGUUUCUUUAAGAAGACAAGUUAACCAUUCCAUUUAUUGAGAAUUUACUUACCAUUCAGUGCAUUGCUUAGAUAUGUAGUAUUCAGUUUUUAGUACACAUACAAGGUUGUGUAUCGAUUACUACUAAUUCCAGAACAUUUCCAUUACCAUAGAAAAAGAAACCCAAUAUUCAUUUUCAUCUCUCCUCUAUGGACUUACCUAAUCUAGAUAUACCAAAUAAAUGGAAUUUUUAUAAAA
rnacentral:lncRNA from 1 species